AUACGGAGGAUGCGAGCGUUAUCCGGAUUUAUUGGGUUUAAAGGGAGCGUAGGUGGGAUAUUAAGUCAGCUGUGAAUGUUUGGGGCUCAACCUUAAAAUUGCAGUUGAUACUGGUUUCCUUGAGUACGGUACAGGUGGGCGGAAUUCGUGGUGUAGCGGUGAAAUGCUUAGAUAUCACGAAGAACUCCGAUCGCGAAGGCAGCUCACCGGGCCGGAACUGACACUGAUGCUCGAAAGUGCGGGUAUCAGACAGGAUUAGAUACCCUGGUAGUCCGCACAGUAAACGAUGAAUACUCGCUGUUUGCGAUACACAGUAAGCGGCCAAGCGAAAGCGUUAAGUAUUCCACCUGGGGAGUACGCCGGCAACGGUGAAACUCAAAGGAAUCGACGGGG
rnacentral:rRNA from 1 species